rnacentral:ncRNA from 1 species
AGGAGCCGUGUGAGGGAAAACUUUCACGCACGGUUCUGAAGACCAGCCGCCGAGUCGCCCCGGCGGCUGAGUUUAAU